rnacentral:rRNA from 1 species
UGGGGAAUAUUGGACAAUGGGCGAAAGCCUGAUCCAGCUAUGCCGCGUGGAUGAAGAAGGCCUUAGGGUUGUAAAGUCCUUUCGCCGCUGAAGAUAAUGACGGUAAGCGGAGGAGAAGCCCCGGCUAAUUUCGUGCCAGCAGCCGCGGUAAUACGAAAGGGGCUAGCGUUGUUCGGAUUUACUGGGCGUAAAGCGCACGUAGGCGGCUUGGCAAGUUGGGGGUGAAAUCCCCGGGCUCAACCCGGGAACUGCCUUCAAGACUGCUAGGCUAGAGGAUGCGAGAGGUUGGCGGAAUUCCGAGUGUAGAGGUGAAAUUCGUAGAUAUUCGGAAGAACACCAGUGGCGAAGGCGGCCAACUGGCGCAUUUCUGACGCUGAGGUGCGAAAGCGUGGGGAGCAAA